UACAGAGGGGGCAAGCGUUGUUCGGAAUUACUGGGCGUAAAGGGCGCGUAGGUGGCCUUCUAAGUUGAACGUGAAAUCCCUGGGCUCAACCCAGGAACUGCGUCCAAGACUGGGAGGCUUGAAUCCGGGAGAGGGAUGCGGAAUUCCAGGUGUAGCGGUGAAAUGCGCAGAGAUCAGGAGGAACACCCGUAGCGAAGGCGGCACUCUGGGCCGAUACUGACACUGAGGAGCGAAAGCGUGGGGAGCGAACAGG
rnacentral:rRNA from 1 species